rnacentral:rRNA from 1 species
AGUGAACGCUGGCGGUAGGCCUAACACAUGCAAGUCGAACGGCAGCACAGUAAGAGCUUGCUCUUACGGGUGGCGAGUGGCGGACGGGUGAGGAAUACAUCGGAAUCUACUUUUUCGUGGGGGAUAACGUAGGGAAACUUACGCUAAUACCGCAUACGACCUACGGGUGAAAGCAGGGGAUCUUCGGACCUUGCGCGAUUGAAUGAGCCGAUGUCGGAUUAGCUAGUUGGCGGGGUAAAGGCCCACCAAGGCGACGAUCCGUAGCCGGUCUGAGAGGGUGAUCGGCCACACUGGAACUGAGACACGGCCCAAACUCCUACGGGAGGCAGCAGUGGGGAAUCUUCCGCAAUGGGCGCAAGCCUGACGGAGCAAUGCCGCGUGAGUGAAGAAGGCCUUCGGGUUGUAAAACUCUGUUCUUAGCGAAGAGAGAGUGUUGUAGUAACUGACAAUACUAGGACGGUAGAUGAGGAGGAAGCCCCGGCUAACUAUGUG